AAAAAAGAUAAGUUUUGGCAAGGAUUUGGAGAAACCGUAUGGAGUUUCCUCAAGAAGUUAAAAAUAGAACUACCAUAUGAUCCAGCAAUCCCAAUUCUGGGUACAUAGUCAAAGAAAAUAAAAUCACUUUCUCGAAGAGACAUCUGCACUCCUAUGUCCAUUGCAGCAUCAUUCACAAUAGCCAAGAUAUAGUAUCAACCUAAGUGUCUAUCAAAGGAUGAAUGUAUAAAGUAUGGUAUGUACAUAUAAUGCAAUAUUUUUCAGCCUUAGAAAAGAAAAAAAUUCCUGCUAUUUUCCAUAACAUGGAUGAACCUAGAAGACAUUAUGCUAAGUGAAAUAAGCCAGUGAUAGAAAGACAAAUAUUGUGCGAUCUCAUAUGUGGAAUCUAAAAUAGUCAAACUCAUAGAAGCAGAAACAGAUAAUAAUAUGGUGGUUGCCAGUGGCUUGGGGGAGUAGGAAAGAGGGAGGUAAUGUUUAAUAGAUACCAAGUUUCAGUUAUACAAGUACGUUCUGGAGAUCUGCCAUACAGCAUAGUACUUAUAGCUAACAAUACCGAAUGUUAUACUUAAAAUCUCUAAGAGGGUAGAUCUUAACGUUAAACGCUCUAACCAAAACAAAACAACAACAAUAACAAUAACAAAGGGCAUAGUGGAAACUUUGGGAGGUGAUGGAUAUGUUUAUGGCCUUGAUGGAGGUGAUGGUUUCAUGGGGUAUACUUUUUCUCAAAUUCAUCAAGAUGUAUAUGUUAAAAACAUACAGCUUUUAUAUGUCAAUGAUUUCUCAAUUAGGUGGUUUUUAACAAACACCCUUCUGGAGUUUCAAUAGCAGUUUUAAAAUUUUAAUGAUGCAUCAAACAAAGAAUAAGUGUAUAAUAUAUUUUGAGCAGAAACAGCACAAUUUCUUUUCUUCUUGGCAUAUACAGCAGACUUUCUAAGACUAACAAGGAGCAGACACACAGAAAGAUCAUAGAAGUAUAAAGUAUAAUCUUCUACAUCAACCUCAAGAAAUACUGUUUCAUCUAAAACUGGGGAAUGCAGCUGCUACAUGAGAAGACUGACUAUCCUGAGACUGCCAUGCUAUGAAGAAGCCUAAGCUCCUUAUGUGGAGAAGCUACGAGCAGAGGCCCACCUUGCCUCCGCUGUUCCAGCCACUCCUGCCCGAAUGCCCAACAUGUGAGUCAAGAAGUCCUCUUGGCCAUUCCUCAUUAUGUAGUGAUAGGAAACACAGCAAAACUGUCACCCAAGGCAAUACAGAAAACCGGAGCUUCACGUACUGAACUGAUGGAUCUAUUUUAGGGAGCUUCCAGACAGAAUGUCAAAAGUGCCAGCAGGCUUCUUUUAGUUGCUAAUAAUAAGGUACAGAUAGAGAGAUAUCAUAUAAAGAAGCUAUUAUUCAAUCGUCAUGAAGAAUUUAAAGAUAAUAUAAAGGAGCCAGGAUUUGCU
rnacentral:lncRNA from 1 species